ACGGAAGGCAGCAGUGGGGAAUAUUGCACAAUGGGGGAAACCCUGAUGUAGCGACGCCGCGUGAGUGAAGAAGUAUUUCGGUAUGUAAAGCUCUAUCAGCAGGGAAGAUAAUGACGGUACCUGACUAAGAAGCACCGGCUAAAUACGUGCCAGCAGCCGCGGUAAUACGUAUGGUGCAAGCGUUAUCCGGAUUUACUGGGUGUAAAGGGAGCGUAGACGGCAAUGCAAGUCUGAUGUGAAAUCUCCGGGCUCAACCCGGAAACUGCAUUGGAAACUGUAUAGCUAGAGUGCAGGAGAGGUAAGCGGAAUUCCUAGUGUAGCGGUGAAAUGCGUAGAUAUUAGGAGGAACACCAGUGGCGAAGGCGGCUUACUGGACUGUAACUGACGUUGAGGCUCGAAAGCGUGGGGAGCAAACAGGAUUAGAUACCCUGGUA
rnacentral:rRNA from 1 species